rnacentral:rRNA from 1 species
ACGCUCGACACCUACGGGAGGCAGCAGUGGGGAAUAUUGCACAAUGGGGGAAACCCUGAUGCAGCGACGCCGCGUGACUGAAGAAGUAUUUCGGUAUGUAAAGGUCUAUCAGCAAGGAAGAAGAAAGACGGUACUUGACUAAGAAGCCCCGGCUAACUACGUACCAGCAGCCGCGGUAAUCUGAGCGGGCUGGCGAAGGC